ensembl:lncRNA
CUGUGAGCAGCGGGUCGGCCUGGCCGGCUUAUCAACAGGGCGAUCCCUUAGAAGAUGGAUCACCACUUGGAAAGAGCCACAGUAUUGAGUCUUUGUCCUUGAUCUGCGUGCUGGAAUGGGGCCUCACUCUUCUGUUCUGCCUAUCUGGCCUUCAUCUGGAAUUGCUAGUGUGCAGUAAAGAGCAUGGCUGUGCAUCUGGGAGACUGCCUCUACAACACUGAGACAGUGCUGCUCCUUUGUGUUGCUUGUAAGGCUGUGCAGGAAGCCUGUGGCAGAGAUGCUAAUUUCAUGCUAAUGGAUUGAUGUGUUUCACAUGCCCCUUCUUUUGUAAGUGUCCCUGAUGUUUUUUUUCUUAAUGUACCCAGGUUAAAAUGGCUGCAGGAGAGCACAGCAGCCCGAGGAACCACAUUGCCACGAGUCAAGAAGCUGCCUGCUGCUCUUCUGCUGUCCCUGUUCCUUGAAACUUGCAGGGCAGAAAUCCCUUUAUGGCCGCUUGGUGCUGGUCUCACCCACCUGGCCUAGCUGAGCUGGGAGGUCUGCCUGUCUGGUGAAGACCCUUGGCUGGUAUUGCCCCCACUCUGUCUACUCAAGUGUGCCUGUCAGCUGCCCAUGUCUGCUGGUGUAGGAAUUGGCUGGCUCCAAAAGAACAGCAACUGCAGGCAGGUGGACUGGGUCAGCAGCAGGAGAGAACACUGCAGCCAGGCCAAGCAGUAAAGAAAGCAGCAGAGAGGUCUUGAGUGGCAUGGUGACUGGGAUGGUCAUGUGCAGCUUUUUCAUAAACUGGAAUCCUAGUGCUGUGGGAAAUAGAUGUUUCAAUGGAUGGUUUUGGUCUAGUGGCUCAGCAGAGUGAAGAUGCUUAGUUUUGUCAUGAAUUUAUCAGAUGUUCCAAACUCUUUUCAUUCUGAAAGUCAAAGCAUUUUGUUUCAGUUCCUACUGACCACAUCCGGAGGAUCAAUAGCAGUGCCUUAGGCCUCCCUGCUAAUUUGUGGCUGCAUUAAUCUCUGUGGCACAUAGCAGUCUUUCAGCUAGGGAGAAUGUCCCAUGGCAUAUUCGCAGAUGAAAUCUGAUCAGAGAAUGCGGGAGGAGGAAGGGGGUAGAAGAAGAAAGGAAGAAGAAUGUGAGCUAUCACUUCUCUGAGACAGUGUGGUAGCUGAGGCAGGCAGAAAGUAAUGGAAAAUUGACCUAAAAAGAAGUGUUUUCAAAUGGGUCAGCUGAAGUGUUUCAAUUGGGUCAAGACGACCUGGAAAAAAAAUCUUUCAUUUUGAUUUUCUGAUUAGAAAGAAAGAAAAAGUACUGUUUUUCUUCAGAAAGCAUUGGCAUCUAAUUCGCAAAUCUCUGUACUGUAGCACAGAAGUGAUUUUUCUUUGAGCUGGUUACUGUGCUCAGUUUUUGGUCUCUUAGAAAAGACCCUUUUGUGGAUUUCAAGUUAACUUGGACUUCUUGAUGUUCUCGGGGAAGCAAAGACAGUGGGAUCUUGAUGUUCCAGAAAUCCAGGGUACCUUCUCCUGCCAUCUGGACUCCAUCCCUUUUUUCAGUUGAGAAUACAUAUUUUCCCUUACAUUUGGAACAACCUUAUUUUGUUGCAUUCUUGACCAGUUUUGUUGCCUCAGGCCUUGAGAUCUUCCUUUGAAUUAGGGGUCCCAUCUGUUGUUAUCCUAAACAGCACAGAAAUAGAAAAUCCUGCAGGCGAAUGGAGCAUUGCUUUGCAGGACCAAACUGAGUUCUGCAUUCAAUUUAAUGCUCUGUUUAAAUUCUGUUGAAUAGGCACCCUAGAUCUUUGUUUUUUGGGGGGCAGUGUACUGACUAAAUGGAAGUUUAUAUUUGAUAGUUUUACAUAUCCUUGAAAAUUAAAUUGUCUACUAAUAAGCAAACUAGGAUAGAAGGGGGCAGGUUUGCUGAGAGGCAAGGACAGCUAUGAGAACAUGAAUGCUCAGGCCUGACAGCGUGGCUCUUUUCUUUGCACUCUUCUUCCCUCUGUUGUACUCUUCUUUUCAAAUCUAGAACCCCAAGGAGGCUGUGUUUGUGGACAGAACUGUAUCCAUCCAGACACUGAACUAUUCUGUGUUAUAAAACCCAUCUGCAAACGCUUGGCCUCUGGCCAAUUUCAAAGCUUCUUUGAGCAAAUGGACGUACGUGAACGUAUAUGAACUACUCUGUAAGCAGUUCCUUACCCCAGUAAAUAAAGGAAUAGCUUAGUGGCUAUUUGACAGCACAUUAAAAAUGAAGACAUCUGACUUAUAAACCAGUAAUAUAUCCAUUAGCUGAGUUGAGCAGCAGGCAGAAGAAAUUCCUUAAUAUUUCCCAGCGAGAGUCUAUUCAAAAUCUAAAUCUUGAUCUGAAUUUUGUAGCCUCCAUGUCUUCCACAGGAGCAGAAGGAAAUCUUCAUGUGGCUGCCGUUCACAUUAUUAUUAUUAUUAUUAUUAUUAUUAUUAUUAUUAUUAUUUUACUGUUCCCAGUGUCAUGUUCCUACUGUCAUAGUGCAGCUGAGUCCAUUGCUAAAUGGGUGUGGGCUGGGAGAGACAGCUGGCCAGACUGAGACACUGAAAUGGUCAUGUUUGGGCAGCAGUGGCUUUAUCUUCCUUUCUUCCUGCCUAAGCUCAUCUCCAAUUCCAAACGCUGGUUUUUCCAUGUAUCUGGAUACCAGAACAGCAGCACUAUCACCACUGAGGAGC